rnacentral:lncRNA from 1 species
AUUGGGGCAAUGGAGGAGAGUGAAGAGGUAAAUUAAUUCAAGCAUAUUGAUUUGACGAUUCUCUGUGAGUGAACUCAAGUAUUUCAAAUUUAUCAGCAAACAAUAGUAGCAAAAGAAAAAAUAACACCAAAAAAAUAAACACACUGAUCUUAGCAGAGAACCUAAUCUGUUUAUUUUUGAAACAAUAGACUGUAGUUACAUAACCCAAAAAAAAUAAAUCUUGGGUAUUUAGAAAUAAACAAUAGCUACAACUGCAGUUGCAGAAGAUGGGGCUGCCAGGUUUUAGCUUCUAGUUGAAGAAGAUGGGUUGACGGGUUUUAGCUACUAAUUGAAGAAGAUGGGGCCGCUGUGUGAUUUGAUUCGGUUUGCAAAGGAGCUCUUGGUUGGAUUAGAUGGGGCUACCGCGUUUUGAUUUGCUUUGCAAAGGGAGCUAUUGGUAAGAGAAGAUGGGGUUAGGGCGUUUUACUUGCUAGUCUUUUUAUUGUGGUUUAUUAGAAAGUGAAACUGGAUUUUUGGGAGGUAGACAUCCGUAAGAUUUCCCCGAUUACCCAUUAAGCGCAUAAUAGAUUUUUCGUAAUAGAUUUCGGGAAAUCUCGGGUAAUCUUUUUCCAUUUUCUGACUAUUAAAGUGUACCAAAAUGUCAUAUUCGUGUAAUCUAUUGUCAUGUAAUAGAUUUCCUGGUUCCCAAACGGCCCCUUAGAGGGUUUUUCAACCUUAAAACAAGGUAUGAUUCCCUCAGCUUUCCCAUCAGGUUGUGAUUAUAGUGUAUCGCACCUUUUUUUAUGCAGAUGAUCUAGUUAUUUUUGUGGGGUUCACAUAAUUUUGC